GUGGGGAAUCUUGCGCAAUGGGCGAAAGCCUGACGCAGCCAUGCCGCGUGAAUGAUGAAGGUCUUAGGAUUGUAAAAUUCUUUCACCGGGGACGAUAAUGACGGUACCCGGAGAAGAAGCUCCGGCUAACUUCGUGCCAGCAGCCGCGGUAAUACGAAGGGGGCUAGCGUUGCUCGGAAUUACUGGGCGUAAAGGGCGCGUAGGCGGACAGCUUAGUCAGAGGUGAAAGCCCAGGGCUCAACCUUGGAAUUGCCUUUGAUACUGGCUGUCUUGAGUUUGGGAGAGGUGAGUGGAACUCCGAGUGUAGAGGUGAAAUUCGUAGAUAUUCGGAAGAACACAAGUGGCGAAGGCGACUCACUGGCCCAAUACUGACGCUGAGGCGCGAAAGCGUGGGGAGCAAACAGGAUUAGAAACCCCUGUAGUCC
rnacentral:rRNA from 1 species